UACAGAGGUCUCAAGCGUUGUUCGGAUUCAUUGGGCGUAAAGGGUGCGUAGGCGGCGCCGUAAGUCAGGUGUGAAAUUUCGGAGCUUAACUCCGAAACUGCAUUUGAUACUGCGGUGCUUGAGGACUGGAGAGGAGACUGGAAUUUACGGUGUAGCAGUGAAAUGCGUAGAUAUCAUGAGGAAUACCAGAGGCGAAGGCGGCUCCCUGGACAAUUGCUGACACUCAGGCACGAAAGCGUGGGGAGCAAAAGGG
rnacentral:rRNA from 1 species